AGAGUUUGAUCCUGGCUCAGGAUAAACGCUGGCGGCGCACAUAAGACAUGCAAGUCGAACGGAAGUCGUUAUGAUGAUUUCAAUAUGGACAGAGAACUUGUUCGAAGAAAAUGGAGACUGACUUAUAACAAUGGCUUUAGUGGCGGACUGGUGAGUAACACGUGAGCAACCUGCCUAUCAGAGGGGAAUAACAGUGAGAAAUCAUUGCUAAUACCGCAUAUGCCAUAAAUAUCACAUGAUAAAAGUGGGAAAGGAGUAAUCCGCUGAUAGAUGGGCUCGCGUCUGAUUAGAUAGUUGGUGGGGUAACGGCCUACCAAGUCGACGAUCAGUAGCCGGACUGAGAGGUUGAACGGCCACAUUGGGACUGAGAUACGGCCCAGACUCCUACGGGAGGCAGCAGUCGGGAAUAUUGCGCAAUGGAGGAAACUCUGACGCAGUGACGCCGCGUAUAGGAAGAAGGUUUUCGGAUUGUAAACUAUUGUCGUUAGGGAAGAUACAAGACAGUACCUAAGGAGGAAGCUCCGGCUAACUACGUGCCAGCAGCCGCGGUAAUACGUAGGGAGCAAGCGUUAUCCGGAUUUACUGGGUGUAAAGGGUGCGUAGACGGGAAAGCAAGUUAGUUGUGAAAUCCCUCGGCUUAACUGAGGAACUGCAACUAAAACUACUUUUCUUGAGUGUUGGAGAGGAAAGUGGAAUUCCUAGUGUAGCGGUGAAAUGCGUAGAUAUUAGGAGGAACACCGGUGGCGAAGGCGACUUUCUGGACAAUAACUGACGUUGAGGCACGAAAGUGUGGGGAGCAAACAGGAUUAGAUACCCUGGUAGUCCACACCGUAAACGAUGGAUACUAGGUGUAGGGAACAUUAAGUUUUCUGUGCCGUCGCAAACGCAAUAAGUAUCCCACCUGGGGAGUACGGCCGCAAGGUUGAAACUCAAAGGAAUUGACGGGGGCCCG
rnacentral:rRNA from 1 species